AUUGAACGCUGGCGGCAGGCCUAACACAUGCAAGUCGAACGAGUGGCGGACGGGUGCGUAAUGUCUGGGAAACUGCCUGAUGGAGGGGGAUAACUACUGGAAACGGUAGCUAAUACCGCAUACCAUCGGAUGUGCCCAGAUGGGAUUAGCGAGUAGGUGGGGUAAAGGCUCCCCUAGGCGACGAUCCCUAGCUGGUCUGAGAGGAUGACCAGCCACACUGGAACUAAGACACGGUCCAGACUCCUACGGGAGGCAGCAGUGGGGAAUAUUGCACAAUGGGCGCAAGCCUGAUGCAGCCAUGUCGCGUGGAGGAAGAAGGCCUUCGGGUUGUAAAGUACUUUCAGCGGGGAGGCGUUACCCGCAGAAGAAGCACCGGCUAACGCCGUGCCAGCCGCCGCGGUAAUUC
rnacentral:rRNA from 1 species